CGUGGGGAGCAAACAGGAUAGAUACCUGGUAGUCACGCUGUAAACGAUGUCGAUUUGGAGGUUGUUCCUUGAGGAGUGGCUUCCGGAGCUAACGCGUUAAAUCGACCGCCUGGGGAGUACGGCCGCAAGGUUAAAACUCAAAUGAAUUGACGGGGGCCCGCACAAGCGGUGGAGCAUGUGGUUUAAUUCGAUGCAACGCGAAGAACCUUACCUACUCUUGACAUCCAGAGAAUUUAGCAGAGAUGCUUUAGUGCCUUCGGGAACUCUGAGACAGGUGCUGCAUGGCUGUCGUCAGCUCGUGUUGUGAAAUGUUGGGUUAAGUCCCGCAACGAGCGCAACCCUUAUCCUUUGUUGCCAGCACGUUAUGGUGGGAACUCAAAGGAGACUGCCGGUGAUAAACCGGAGGAAGGUGGGGAUGACGUCAAGUCAUCAUGGCCCUUACGGGUAGGGCUACACACGUGCUACAAUGGCGUAUACAAAGAGAAGCGACCUCGCGAGAGCAAGCGGAACUCAUAAAGUACGUCGUAGUCCGGAUUGGAGUCUGCAACUCGACUCCAUGAAGUCGGAAUCGCUAGUAAUCGUAGAUCAGAAUGCUACGGUGAAUACGUUCCCGGGCCUUGUACACACCGCCCGUCACACCAUGGGAGUGGGUUGCAAAAGAAGUAGGUAGCUUAACCUUCGGGAGGGCGCUUACCACUUUGUGAUUCAUGACUGGGGUGAAGUCGUAACAAGGUAACCA
rnacentral:rRNA from 1 species